AUUCUUGCAAGUAUUUCAUGUGAUUUUAACCCUAUUUGUGCAUGGUCCAAACUCAAUUUCUUGAUAGAAUUUUUAGUACUUGCACAAAUAGGGUUAAAAUCACAUGAAAUACUUGCAAGAAUA
rnacentral:miRNA from 1 species